UCGAACGGUAGCACAGAGAGCUUGCUCUCGGGUGACGAGUGGCGGACGGGUGAGUAAUGUCUGGGAAACUGCCUGAUGGAGGGGGAUAACUACUGGAAACGGUAGCUAAUACCGCAUAACGUCGCAAGACCAAAGAGGGGGACCUUCGGGCCUCUUGCCAUCAGAUGUGCCCAGAUGGGAUUAGCUAGUAGGUGGGGUAACGGCUCACCUAGGCGACGAUCCCUAGCUGGUCUGAGAGGAUGACCAGCCACACUGGAACUGAGACACGGUCCAGACUCCUACGGGAGGCAGCAGUGGGGAAUAUUGCACAAUGGGCGCAAGCCUGAUGCAGCCAUGCCGCGUGUAUGAAGAAGGCCUUCGGGUUGUAAAGUACUUUCAGCGGGGAGGAAGGUGUUGUGGUUAAUAACCGCAGCAAUUGACGUUACCCGCAGAAGAAGCACCGGCUAACUCCGUGCCAGCAGCCGCGGUAAUACGGAGGGUGCAAGCGUUAAUCGGAAUUACUGGGCGUAAAGCGCACGCAGGCGGUCUGUCAAGUCGGAUGUG
rnacentral:rRNA from 1 species